rnacentral:lncRNA from 1 species
GCUCAUGCCUUUUUUUCCAAGUUAAGAUAAUAGGCAAGAAGCUACAAAAGUGGUAAGCUUGAAGAAAACACAAACAUGUAUGUAAGUGUGAAUUCAUUUUAGUUUCAAAGGCAAACUGCUGAAAACAUCGAGGCCAUGUUCUCCUCAGUUCUCUCAAAAUCUGUUAUUAUUUUAAUAUGAUAUUGCAAAGAUACGUGCCAUCUUUUCGGAGAAAGUUUCGAACUUGGAUGGCAAGCCUCACUUCCAAGUUUUCCCUUGGAGAUUUUUCCCAGCUGGUGCCAAUGUCUCUUUUCCGCAAGCAACGCUAUUACAUAACGUUAUAAAACGUUGCAGAACGUGGCUUGGGUUUUCUAUGCACUGUAGCUCAUUCACCCGCAAGGUUCACGAUUUAUCCACAACCCAAGGCACGGGAUUUUCCCGUUACCUUUGGGCCGUGGGCUAAUUUUCCUUGAUUUCUCACUCUAUAAAAAUAGAGUGGCUUUAGACUUACACACUUCUCUUUUACUCAUUCCUCCUUCUCCUUUUGUUCUCUUCUUUGUUUAUUUUUUAAAUAUUUUGGAUAUUUUAUUUUCUUUUAAGAGAUCUUACCAGUUUUAAAAUCUUCAUAUAUUACUCAGUUUCUGUUGUAUUAUUCAUUAUAUAGACUUACAUAAU